AGGGAAUUAGCUCAAAUGGUAGAGCGCUCGCUUAGCAUGCGAGAGGUAGCGGGAUAGAUACUCGCAUUCUCCGA
rnacentral:tRNA from 1 species